GCCUGAGCGGGGUAAAGCCAGAG
rnacentral:snRNA from 1 species